CCAACGUGGGUAUCCUGGUUAGAUGACACCAGGCUCUGUCCAAGUGGCGAAAGGGAGUGUAGGGCCUUGCCCUGUGACAUACAGUCCCAUUCCACAAUGUUGGAUAUCAAGCCGGGCCUUGUGUCUGUACCUGCAUAUUCCUAAACCUUCUCAGAGUCUUUUGGACUAUGACUGAGGAGACAAACCAUGCAGGAAACAGUA
rnacentral:snoRNA from 1 species